GGGGAGAUUUCCUUGAAUCCCGUCCACCCAAGUUCUGUGCCAGAUCCUCCUCUCCUUCCACCACCCUGUCUGUUCCAAGCCCUUUUGAGAGCCAAGGUUUUUAGGACAGCCGAGCACGAAUGAAAGGUGAAACACUGGAUAAUAAAUGUUUCAAAGAAGAAAGCAUUGGGGAACCAAGCGGCUUUUCCUCUGACCUGCUGUUGACUCACCGACAGUCCCAUUCAUUUUAAUGGGAAGGCUAGUGAUGCGGCAGUGACGCAACAAGGUGAGGGACAUGGCGGGUAGCAGGUGAAUGGAUGCCCGCUAAUAGGUGCUGCCAUGAUGGAUCUGAAAUGCAGGUGCUCUUUAAAUGUAAGGACUCAUUCUUGCUGGUAGUUAGAAUCUUUAAUAUUAUUAUUAGCAAA